CCUACGGGAGGCAGCAGUGAGGAAUCUUGCGCAAUGGGGGAACCCUGACGCAGCAACGCCGCGUGAGUGAUGAAGGCCUUCGGGUCGUAAAGCUCUGUCAGAUGGGAAGAAAGUUUCGGCGGUGAACAAUCGCCGGGAUUGACGGUACCGUCAGAGGAAGCACCGGCUAACUCCGUGCCAGCAGCCGCGGUAAUACGGAGGGUGCAAGCGUUGUUCGGAAUCAUUGGGCGUAAAGAGCGUGUAGGCGGUCGGGUAAGUCAGAUGUGAAAUCCCUUGGCUUAACCAAGGAAGUGCAUUUGAAACUGCCCGGCUUGAGUACGGGAGGGGGAAGUGGAAUUCCCGGUGUAGAGGUGAAAUGCGUAGAUAUCCGGAGGAACACCAGUGGCGAAGGCGGCCUCCUGGUCUGCCCCUGACGCUCAGACGCGAAAGCUAGGGGAGCGAACGGGAUUAGAAACCCCGGUAGUCCUAGCUGUAAACGAUGCGGACUUGGUGUGGGUGGCUUAAACUCCAUCCGUGCCGCAGCCAACGCGAUAAGUCCGCCGCCUGGGGACUACGGCCGCAAGGUUAAAACUCAAAGGAAUUGACGG
rnacentral:rRNA from 1 species